rnacentral:rRNA from 1 species
UCAGGACGAACGCUGGCGGCGUGCCUAACACAUGCAAGUCGAGCGGGGACAUACGACGGACAGGAAGUUUUUCGGAUGGAAUGGAAGAUGUAUGUUCUAGCGGCGGACGGGUGAGUAACGCGUGAGCAACCUGUCCCUUACAGGGGGAUAACACAGCGAAAGCUGUACUAAUACCGCAUAAGACCACAGAGAGACAUCUCACAGGGGUCAAAGGAGCAAUCCGGUAAGGGGUGGGCUCGCGUCCGAUUAGAUAGUUGGUGAGGUAACGGCCUACCAAGGCGACGAUCAGUAGCCGACCUGAGAGGGUGAUCGGCCACAUUGGGACUGAGACACGGCCCAAACUCCUACGGGAGGCAGCAGUGGGGAAUAUUGCACAAUGGGGGAAACCCUGAUGCAGCGACGCCGCGUGAGUGAAGAAGUAUUUCGGUAUGUAAAGCUCUUUAAGCAGGGAAGAUAAUGACGGUACCUGCAGAAUAAGCACCGGCUAAAUACGUGCC